rnacentral:rRNA from 1 species
UACGUAGGGGGCAAGCGUUGUCCGGAAUCAUUGGGCGUAAAGAGCGUGUAGGCGGUCCGAUUAGUCGGCUGUGAAAGUCCAGGGCUCAACCCUGGGAUGCCGGUCGAUACUGUCGGACUAGAGUCCGGAAGAGGCAAGUGGAAUUCCCGGUGUAGCGGUGAAAUGCGCAGAUAUCAGGAAGAACACCCGUGGCUAAGGCGGCUCUCUAGUACGGUACUGACGCUGAGACGCGAAAGCGUGGGGAGCGAACAGG